rnacentral:tRNA from 1 species
GGGGCGGUUCGGUGGCACCGAGAAACGAGCUUCGACACCUCGUUUUCCGCGGGUUCGAUUCCCGCCCGUUCCA